CCUACGGGCGGCAGCAGUGAGGAAUAUUGGUCAAUGGACGAGAGUCUGAACCAGCCAAGUAGCGUGAAGGAUGACUGCCCUAUGGGUUGUAAACUGCUUUUAUAAAGGAAUAAAACGAGGCACGUGUGCCUUUUUGCAUGUACUUUAUGAGUAAGGAUCGGCGUAAUCCGUGCCAGCAGCCGCGGUAAUACGGGGGAUCCGAGCGUUUUCCGGAUUUAUUGGGUUUAAAGGGAGCGUAGAUGGGUUGUUAAGUCAGUUGUGAAAGUUUGCGGCUCAACCGUAAAAGUGCAAUUGAUACUGGCAGCCUUGAGUACAGUUGAGGUAGGCGGAAUGCGUGGUGUAGCGGUGAAAUGCUUAGAUAUCACGAAGAACCCCGAUUGCGAAGGCAGCUUACUAAGCUGUGACUGACAUUGAGGCACGAAAGUGUGGGUAUCAAACAGGAUUAGAUACCCCAGUAGUC
rnacentral:rRNA from 1 species